AUUUCACGUUGACAUAAUUGAAGUCCAUGCAGCCACAUGUGGAUUAAGACCUUCAGAUAAUGACUGUCACGAGUCAAGUGGAUCAGGAGCAGUCGGUCAAAUCAGUACAUUUCAAAGUACAGAGGAAAUCUUGGAUUGGAUCACUCAUCAAGUUAAUGAAACGAACACAUUUUCUAUCUGUGUUUCUCGAUCUGACCUCUUCAGCAGAGGCAUGCAACAGUGGCAACGGCAGAAAAAGACAUCACCCAAAUCUAGACUUAAGGUCAC